GACGAACGCUGGCGGCGUGGAUUAGGCAUGCAAGUCGAACGGUAGGAUCCUUUCGGGGAUCUGAGAGUGGCGAACGGGUGAGUAACACGUAGGUGAUCUACCCUCAAGACGGGGACAACCCAGGGAAACUUGGGCUAAUACCGGAUGUGAGCUAUCGCGAGAUAGUUUGAAAGGUGGCUUCGGCUGCCGCUUGAGGAUGAGCCUGCGUCCUAUUAGCUAGUUGGUGAGGUAACGGCUCACCGAGGCAGUGAUAGGUAGGCGGCCUUAACGGGUGGUCGCCCACACUGGGAUUGAGAUACGGCCCAGACUCCUACGGGAGGCAGCAGUCGAGAAUAGUCUACAAUGGUCGAAAGACUGAUAGUGCGACGCCGCGUGAACGAAGAAGCCCUUCGGGGUGUAAAGUUCUUUUAUAUGUGAGCAGUGACACCCAUAUUAAUAGUAUGGGUGUAGAGAUAUUAGCAUUAUGAAUAAGCAACGGCUAACUCCGUAGCCAGC
rnacentral:rRNA from 1 species